AUUGAACGCUGGCGGCAUGCCUUACACAUGCAAGUCGAACGGUAACAGGUCUUCGGAUGCUGACGAGUGGCGAACGGGUGAGUAAUACAUCGGAACGUGCCUAGUAGUGGGGGAUAACUACUCGAAAGAGUGGCUAAUACCGCAUGAGAUCUACGGAUGAAAGCAGGGGAUCGCAAGACCUUGUGCUACUAGAGCGGCCGAUGGCAGAUUAGGUAGUUGGUGGGAUAAAAGCUUACCAAGCCGACGAUCUGUAGCUGGUCUGAGAGGACGAUACGCCAAACUGGGACGGAGACACGGCCCAGACUCCUACGGGGGGCAGCAGUGGGGAGUUUUGGACAAUGGGCGAAAGCCUGAUCCAGCAAUGCCGCGUGCAGGAUGAAGGCCUUCGGGUUGUAAACUGCUUUUGUACGGAACGAAAAGCCCUGGGUUAAUACCCUGGGGUCAUGACGGUACCGUAAGAAUAAGCACCGGUUAACUACGUGCCAGCCGCCGCCGUAA
rnacentral:rRNA from 1 species